GAGGAAAGAACAUGGCCGGGGCCGAGCUGUGACUCCGAGUUACAUAACGUCCCAUGGUGUUCUUUCUGCCUCGCACACCCACCUACCCGUCCCCAGCGGCUCGGUGCCCAGGAGGCAGGCUUCGAUGAACUCUGCCUACACACUCCUGUGCCCUCCGGCUUCCAGUGCGCUCAGCUGGGCCACCACGUGAACGGCAGGGCCAGCACACACUUCUGAGCUCACUGCUGCAACCGGCUAACAAAAUUCCAGAUACCUGUCUGCCUGAGGCUACCAUUUACCGCCGAUAGGCUACAGAGAGCUUGGUUACAAGAAGUAGGUGUCAGGGUAACCAGGCCCCACGGACUGCCUGCCAGGCCCGUCGUCUUCCUGAAGCAACCACGCAGCGAGCCGGUGACACAGAGCCACGUGGCAGGCGCAUCAGGCAGAUUCUUGGUUGCAAACAACAUCCAUUUUGAUUGGGAUUGAGGGAAGUAGGAUCCCAGAAACUCUAGGAUUGUGAGAGAAUCAGGCUUGUAAGCCCGAACUGGGCCAUUAGACCGCUCCCACUGCACGCCAGAGCUGAGUCUAGGGUGCUCCCCUGGGACCAUGGCCACUGCGCUCCUGAAGCCUGGAAGUUUCCACGUCCUCACUGGGAUGGAUUCCGUGCUGUGCCUGUGCCUGUGCCUUGACUGGUCCAAAUCAAACUCUUCUGUGAGUGCAUCAUUGCAUCCCUACUCCCUGGCUGCAGGAACACCUUUCUGUCUCAGAGGGUCCCCUGCUCCAAUGAGAUGCCCUGAGGCUGCACUUGCAAUGAUUUUCUGCUGAGACACCGAGUCCUUGAGUGGGACUCAGACGCCAACACUCUUAGCAGAACAGGCCCCAGGGAGAGGCGGCAGCACUGGAGGGGGUGUGUUCUCUGAGGG